UUUACUGCAUGCACACUGCUUUCUCUUAUAUUCAUUUGUCUCUUAUAACCAAGGUGCCUCGUAGGCAUUUUCUAAUGCACUCAUAUUUUACUUUAUGCACACUGGUCUUUUAUACUAAUUUGUCUCUUAUAACCAAGGUGCCUCGUAGGCAUUUUCUAAUGCACUCAUAUUUUACUUUAUGCACACGGCUCUCUCUUAUACCCAUUUGUCUCUUAUAACCAAGCGACCUCAUAUGCAUUUUCUUUCAACCCGUAUUUUACUGUAUGCACACUAGUAUCUUAUACCCAUUUGUCUCUUAUAUCAGUGUCUCUUAUAAAGGGGUUCGACUGUAAAACAUUUCACUUUUGUAUUGUACGUGCCAUUUGUGACGAGAAAAGUCAUAUGUAGCCAAGAUUACUCAUCAUUCCACAUCAACAGACACUUUCAUGAAUCAAGUGCAUAACUUGACAAUUCAAGUGUUUUACUAUGACCAUACUUCGUGUUCCGAGUGUGCUGCAUGUUUCAAAUCUUUGAGUAUGCAUGAAAAAAAUCUGAAGUUGUUUACAUGUUUAUCUUAUGAAUGUUUGUAAAUAUCAUGUCCGUGUUUUUGUAUUUAUUUGAUGUGUGUCCCACAGAGCGCAUGAUUUUAAGAUAGUGGCAUUUUUCAGGGUAAAACCAGGCUUGUCCCUUUAAAGAACAUUGCCUGGGAGCAGAAGCUCAUGCCAGUCACUUUGAUACACGGAGUCCACCCCCAUGCCCUCAAAAACAGCACAUUACUUUCUAAUAAGUAAUCAAGACUGCUGCAAGUUAUCAAAUCUUUAGGAACACUGGUUGAAGUAACUUGUGCCUAGUGUUCAAUUGUGUAUGCUGUUCUUCUGCAAUAAAAAUUUCUGCACCACACAAAACAAA